rnacentral:rRNA from 1 species
UCGCUCUGAGAGGGCCUCGCGGCCUAUCAGCUAGUUGGUGGGGUAACGGCCUACCAAGGCAACGACGGGUAGCUGGUUUGAGAGAACGAUCAGCCACACUGGGACUGAGACACGGCCCAG